UUUCCGUAAGUGAACCUGCGGAAGGAUCAUUAUUGUAUAACCGAGGUGCGAGGGCUGUCGCUGACCCGAAAGGUCGUGCACGCCCGAGUGCCCUCACACACAUCCAUCUCACCCCUAUGUGCACCACCGCGUGGGUCCCCCUUUGGCUUGUUCGGAGGGGGGCUUACGUUUUCACACAAACUUUGUAUGCAGUGUAGAAUGCAUUUUUUGUUUUUGCGAUCACGCAAUCAAUACAACUUUCAACAACGGAUCUCUUGGCUCUC
rnacentral:misc_RNA from 1 species